rnacentral:rRNA from 1 species
GACGAACGCUGGCGGCGUGCUUAACACAUGCAAGUCGAACGAUGAAGCUGGAGCUUGCUCCGGUGGAUUAGUGGCGAACGGGUGAGUAACACGUGAGCAAUCUGCCCUUGACUCUGGGAUAACUGCGGGAAACUGUAGCUAAUACCGGAUACGAGGCUCGAAGGCAUCUUCGGGUCUGGAAAGAAUUUCGGUCAAGGAUGAGCUCGCGGCCUAUCAGCUUGUUGGUGAGGUAAUGGCUCACCAAGGCGACGACGGGUAGCCGGCCUGAGAGGGUGACCGGCCACACUGGGACGGAGGCACGGCCCAGACUCCUACGGGAGGCAGCAGUGGGGAAUAUUGCGCAAUGGGCGAAAGCCUGAUGCAGCAGCGCCGCGUGAGGGAUGAAGGCCUUCGGGUUGUAAACCUCUUUUAGCAGGGAAGAAGCGAAAGUGACGGGACCUGCAGAAAAAGCACCGGCUAACUACGUGCCAGCAGCCGCCGUAA